UACGUAGGGGGCAAGCGUUGUCCGGAAUCAUUGGGCGUAAAGAGCGUGUAGGCGGCCCGGUAAGUCCGAUGUGAAAGUCCAGGGCUCAACCCUGGGAUGCCGGUGGAUACUGUCGGGCUCGAGUCCGGAAGAGGAGUGUGGAAUUCCUGGUGUAGCGGUGAAAUGCGCAGAUAUCAGGAGGAACACCGGUGGCGAAGGCGGCGACCUGGGUAGAUACUGACGCUGAGGCGCGAAAGCGUGGGGAGCGAACAGG
rnacentral:rRNA from 1 species